rnacentral:lncRNA from 1 species
AGAGUUCGUAUAUGACUCCAGUCCUGGCGCUGGAUGCUGCUGCUGUUCCAGCUUCCUAGGUGUGGAAACUGAAGGACCAAGAGAUUAAACAGUGGUGCAAAAGUGGUAAGAAUUCAGCAUUCUCCUCGACAAGUGGACGAGCAUCUACUGUGCUUUCACAGCGGCUAUCACUAUUGCCAGCAGCAAGACUGUCAGCUCGGCGCCCUCGUCUGGUUGGAUGGGAAACUGCAGUUGCUAAGGGAGCUGGGAAUCUCUGAGGACAAAUGGGAAUUCUCACUGAUUUCUAGGACUACCCUGGGGCAGGCACCCUGCACAGCAAUACACACUGAACAAUGUCGAGUUUCUGCUGAAUAGACUUCCUACGUUGCUCUGGAAUUCGAAGUUGGCCUAACUGAGGUCUCCAGUUACAGAAAACACUGGCUCUGUAUCCUGGGCUUUGAGAAAACUUAUCAGGCUGUCACACUUACCAUCCCUUCAGUCUGCUUGUCAGGUUCCUUAAGGACGCAUAUCUCAAAUGUAUGGCAUCUACCUCUACCUGGGUCACAACCAAGUGGGUUUCUACUAGAUCGGUGUUCCUUGACAGCCAACAAGGGAGCUGACACUGCCCUCCUAAGUUCUGAUCUUGCUCCUGUUCAACUGGAACUUGAUGGAUCCCAUGUGGUUUCCCCCAUCCUGACGCUGUGGCUCAGACACUCUCCCUAAGCUGGUCCUUCCCUCCAAAUCCUGCCUUAAACACACUCAGAAGGUAGAAAACACUUCAGCAGCAAAGUCCUCUUCCCAAGCCAACAGUUGUGUUCUUCCAAUCACAUGAUCUUACCUUUUCAAUAAAAGGCAAAACAAACCAAUUUCCAACAUAGCA